AUAAAAUAAUCGCUGACAAAGGACUCGGGGAAAAAUCUCGGUAAAAAUUCUCAGAGAAAUAUACAGAUUUAAAGAAAUCAGUUGAAUUUUGAACUGCUCUACGGUCCCACACGUGCAGCAUGAACUAGUCACGAUCACGACACGCGUCGAUCACGUGACACCGGCGUUUUUUAUUAGUUGUAUGGUUACCAUGGAAUUUUAGACCCAACAUAGAACGUCUGCUCGGAGGCUAAAGCGCAGUUUGCAUAGUGUUGGGUCAUUCUAUGGUAAGGAUGGUGAGGCUGGUGGUGAGAAACACAGCAAGAACGACAAAAAACAAUGUCUUCACAAAACAAAUAGAGGAAAGGGAGGCUGCUAAAGGCAGUUCAACAUUGCAAACAUGGAUUCAAAGCUCCAUCAAGCCAGCAGAUUCAUGUGAUGGAGUGUGGUGUGCCCUAUGCAGCUCAUGGAUUGAGGCACAGUGCGGGCACAGGCUGCGGUUUACCCCAGGUUUUCAGUAGUGAGGUUAGUCGUACGUGCACUGUAAGGUGAGUGGGUCGGGAAAAGGCAUGCAUCUAAUGGUGUUCCCGUUUGCUGUGAUUUCUUCACUGACGUCGUCAUCAUCACCUGAAGCUUGUUGAUCCCCAAUCGGCAGUAGUAAAUAACUCUCUUGUUCCCCUCAGUCUUUGCGAGUCCGUCAUUGAAUGUAGUAGAGGUGCUUCUGAUGCAUUUCGCUUUCUUGUCCUGUCGUGUUAUGUUCCCAGUUUUAUUCACAAAUAUUAGUCUGUGUUAUCUGCUGUCUCGUCCUGGCAGACUUCCAGCCGUCACGCUGCUUCCUUCUUUCCAGUUCUACAAACAGUCAGUUCAUGAACUAGAUUGUCUUCGCUGUGGAGAGAUUGGAUUACUACGAGUCUCAGUCAGUUCUCACCUGCUGCACACAGCUGAGUUGUCUCUCAUUCUCUGGACAUUUACAACCGUCACCAGAGCUCUGUCACUGCCCUUCUCCAGCGAACUGAACAGUUUUUUGCGCUUUCUAGCGCUGUCAUUUAUUACCAUCACUAACUGUGUUUCUCCUCUAUAUCACAGCUCUGGACUGUUGCUGUUGACGUGCUGUCCCUUUUGGGUUGUGCCGUGGUCCGGUUCGCCGUAUAAUUCCACGGAGAUUUAAUUUUCCCCAGCCUUCACCCUGAGCCGUCAUUGCCAGGGAAUAUUCUUCGAGCUCUGUUAUCCCUUCCCCGGAUACCUUUAAGUGACUUUGGUGACUGAGAGACUUAUUGUGUGUAUUCAAUAAAUAUCACUCUGCUCUGGAA